AUUGAACGCUGGCGGCAUGCCUAACACAUGCAAGUCGAACGGGUUGUAGCAAUACAACUAGUGGCGGACGGGUGAGGAAUACAUAGGAAUUUGCCUUUAGGUGGGGGAUAGCCCGGGGAAACUCGGAGUAAUACCGCAUGAUGUCGCAAGACCAAAGCCGGGGAUCGCAAGACCUGGCGCCUUUAGAGAAGCCUAUGUCGGAUUAGCUAGUUGGUAGGGUAAUGGCCUACCAAGGCGACGAUCCGUAACUGGUCUGAGAGGACGAUCAGUCACACCGGAACUGAGACACGGUCCGGACUCCUACGGGAGGCAGCAGUGGGGAAUAUUGGACAAUGGGCGAAAGCCUGAUCCAGCAAUGCCGCGUGUGUGAAGAAGGCCU
rnacentral:rRNA from 1 species